rnacentral:rRNA from 1 species
UUACAGAGGGUGCGAGCGUUUGUCCGGAAUCACUGGGCGUAAAGGGCGCGUAGGUGGCGACCCAAGUCGAUGGUGAAAGCUCGCCGCUCAACGGCGAAGUCGGCCACCGAUACUGGGUUGCUCGAGCACUGUAGAGGCUAAUGGAAUUCCGGGGUGGUAGCGGUGGAAUGCGUAGAGAUCCGGAAGAACACCGGUGGCGAAGGCGGUUAGCUGGGCAGUUGCUGGACAUGAGGCGCGGACAAGCGUGGGAGCAACAGG